CCACUCAUGACCGGAUUUAACACCACUCAGCUUGAUUUAACUCCAUUCACUACACCUUUCUGGGCCCGACCAUCCAGGCAGUUCUUUACCCAGAAAAGACUGUACCUGUCCAAGCCAUGGGCUGCCAUUUUCUCCAGAAUACUGUGGGAGACAGUGUCACUCAUUAGCUGCUUUACUCUUUAACUGCUUUUUCUGACCUUAUCUUCAGAGGUAUAAGUGGUGCUAACAGUGCCAGUAGUGAAAUGGAUGGAUGGAUGGAUGGAUGGAUGGAUGGAUGGAUGAAAAAUAGAUUUGGGGGACUAAUAUUAAUGAUAAAGAAUGAGAAUUGAAAAA
rnacentral:lncRNA from 1 species